rnacentral:rRNA from 1 species
GAUGAACGCUGGCGGCGUGCCUAAUACAUGCAAGUCGAGCGGACGGGCCCUGCGUUUGCUUUUCUGAUGUUACCGGCGGAUGGGUGAGUCAUACGUGGUUUACCCACCUAUUCGACUGAGAUCAGUUCGGGAAACUGGAGCUACUACCGGAUAAUAUUUUGAACCGCAUGGUUCAAAAGUGUAAGUCGGUGUUGGUUUCACUCAUAGCUUGUUCCGCGCUUCAUUGGCUAGUUGGUAAGGUAGCCGCUUACGAAGGCAACGAUGGAUAGCCGACGUGGGAGGGUGAACGGCCACACUGGAAGUGGAACACGGUCCUGACUCCGACGGGAGGCAGCGGGAGGGAAGGUACCGCGAUGGGCGGAAGCCUGCCGGAGCAGCGCCGCGUGGAUGAUGAAGGGCUGCGGAUCGUAAAACGCUGUUAUGAGUGAAGAACAUAUGUGUAAGUGACGAAGCACAUCGUGACGGUACCUAGUCAGAAAGCCACGGCUAACUACGUG